rnacentral:piRNA from 1 species
CUCACUGGUUUAGACCUGUGUGCCGUGGU